rnacentral:rRNA from 1 species
GUUAAUCGGAAUUACUGGGGGUAAAGCGUGCGUAGACGGUUAUUUAAGUCAGGUGUGAAAGCCCAGGGCUCAACCUUGGAAUUGCAUUUGAGACUGAAUAGCUAGGGUGCGGAAGAGGGAAGCGGAAUUUCCGGUGUAGCGGUGAAAUGCGUAGAUAUCGGAAGGAACACCAGUGGCGAAAGCGGCUUCCUGGUCCAGCACCGACGUUCAGGCACGAAAGCGUGGGGAGCAAACAGG